rnacentral:rRNA from 1 species
GGCGAACGCUGGCGGCAGGCUUAACACAUGCAAGUCGAGCGGACCUUUCGGGGUCAGCGGCGGACGGGUGAGUAACGCGUGGGAACGUGCCUUCCGGUUCGGAAUAACCCUGGGAAACUAGGGCUAAUACCGGAUACGCCCUUAUGGGGAAAGGUUUACUGCCGGAAGAUCGGCCCGCGUCUGAUUAGCUAGUUGGUGGGGUAACGGCCUACCAAGGCGACGAUCAGUAGCUGGUCUGAGAGGAUGAUCAGCCACACUGGGACUGAGACACGGCCCAGACUCCUACGGGAGGCAGCAGUGGGGAAUAUUGGACAAUGGGCGCAAGCCUGAUCCAGCCAUGCCGCGUGAGUGAUGAAGGCCUUAGGGUUGUAAAGCUCUUUUAUCCGGGACGAUAAUGACGGUACCGGAGGAAUAAGCCCCGGCUAACUUCGUG